GCACUGAAGGAGGAAUCUCAUCCUGGGCUUAGCUACAGGGACCUUUCUGCAGGAAGGAAAAAGUGGGAGAAGAGCAACAAGGUGCUGGAAUCCGAGAGGAACGAAGACUUGCAGGACCUCAACAAAAAAAUACAAGCUCUGCAUAAAGAUUUCAACAUAUCAAAGGAGUCCACAAAGAAUGAGAUUCAGAUAAUAAGAGCUGACCUGGAGAAGAAAGUAAAGAAGGAAAUUUUAAGGGCCGUGGAAUCCAUAUUGAAACAGCAGCUUGGGCCACUAUCCAAAAAAUUUCAAACUCUGGAAGAAGAUGUACAGAACUGGCAAGAGACCACAAAGCGUGAGAUUCAGCUUCUCAGAGCAGACCUGGAGAAGCAAGGAAUGAAGGAGGAGGAAAUUGCACGGGAGCUGGUAUCAAUGUUGGACAACAAGUUCGGACAGCUGUCCCAAAAAUUUCAAACUCUGGAAAAAGAUGUACAGGAAUGGCAAGAGACCACAAAGCAUGAGGUUCAGCUUCUCAGAGCUUACCUGGAGAAGCAAGGUGAGCAGGGCCAUUGCCAAGCAGACUUUCAUCCAUCUGAGGGCAAUAGCUGCCCUCUAGGCCAAGCACCCUGUGAGCUUCUCCUGCUCAGCUUCUCACAGGGGAUGGGGAGGGGUAGCCCUUCCAUGGGGAGCGGCUUCUGUGACCCAUGGCACUGACACACCUCCAUGCUGAAGUGUUCUCUGCAGGUGCAGGUGGUCAGAGUCCCUCUUCUGUCCCUCAGCUUUGCAUGGGCUGUGUGCUGGGAGUUCUCUCACUGCUUGAUACUGGCUAAGGGUCCCCCCUUGAAGUCCUGUCCCUGUCUCUCUCCCUUUCCCCC
rnacentral:lncRNA from 1 species